AGAGAAAUCGAUAGCCGUCCGGUUAAUAGGACCAUCAAGUUCCAAUGGUACUGGUCGUGUGGAAGUAUUCUACAAUGGACAAUGGGGAACAAUAUGUCAUGAUUAUUGGAAUAUAAAUAUUGCUAAGGUUGUGUGUCGUCAAGUUGGUUUUCCAUAUGCAAUUAAAGCUCUUCGAGGGUAUCAAGUUCCUGAUGGAACUGGGAAGAUAUGGCUAGAUAAUGUCAUAUGUACUGGAAAUGAACAAAGUCUAAUCAAUUGUUCUCACAACGGAUGGGGAAAUCAUAAUUGUGGCCAUUAUCAGGACGCAGGGGUAGAAUGUUCUCGAGGUAAAAUGAUAGUAUCAAUACCAUAAGUGCAUGUAAUGAUAACUUAUAAACUCGGGUGUCGCUUUGUAAAAUGGAAAAAUUCAUCUCCCACCAACUGUGAAUAAUUUUAGUAUUGCAUUUGCACAAAUGAAAACAUGAUUUAAUGCAUCAUGUACUGUUUAAUAAACGAGCAGGAGUGUUUUAUUAGGUUUAAAGCCACGAGCGCGCAGCGCAACUGGCUUUAGAUCUAAUAAAACACGACCUGCGAGUUUAUUAAACGGCUUCAAACACACGACUACAAAUUCAAUAGAUAUACUGCCUUAUUAGUUAUUGUUAUUGUAUUUUAAUUUCACAUCCCUUAAAAGGCUUUUCAGCGAAAUUUUACAUAAUUGAUCUAAAUUUUAUACACUGUAGUAAUAGAGAGACACACAUAACAACACACAGUCACACAACACACACACACACACACACACACACACACACACUUGGUAAUACUACACAAAUAUAUAUGCUAUUUACAUCAAAAUGUCUUAAGAUUGGUC